AGCGCACGGGGAGACGGUGGGCGCAGGAGGAAGGGGGUGAGGAGCCCUUCUCCUCCCCCACCCCGCGGCGCGAGGAGUCGGGGCAGCGGAGCAGAGUCACACCCAGAACCACCUCACCUCCACCCCUUCUUCUCCAGGCCACUCAGUAGAGGCACAGAGCCCACGCCUUGCAUACCCCCUCCAACCUCAAAGGAGAGGGACGAGGAAGGGCUGUGACUUGCGCACCGGCUGCAGGAGCCCUGGCUGGCAAGAACCCCCGGAUGCGCCCAGAACUACUCCGAGUUGCAAGCCGCGCACAACGCAGGACUGGAGUUGAGGCUUGAAAGGGCUGGGGGUGCCAACUUACCCUGCAAAGUUUGCUGACUGCUGCCUUAGAUGACUGCACCCUCAUCUGCCAUCAUGUGAAGCAAAAGAACUGCCUGGCUGAAUGAAACCAACCCACAUCGGUUUAUCCUGUAUGGGACUCUCUGUGCUUCCUGGACUUGUGUGACUAUUUCCUUUCCCAGAUCUUCCCCGAAGAGGUGGACCGGUCGAGGCCCCAGCACCUCAUCGGCAGGAUUGCACCCGGCAUAGUGAAGCGCUGGCCUAGAGAGGAAGGUAUAUGAUAUGGUCAGCCCUCCAAUCCUUGGAUGUGGAGCCUGUGGCUACGGAACCCGCGUAAAUGGAGGGCCGAUUGUACUCCUUAUGUAAAGGACAUGAGCACCCGCGGAUUUUGCUGUCCACGGGGGUCCCCAUGGAUACCGAAGGGUAGCAAGUUGCAGGUCCCCCAGGGAAAGUGCAGGAGUGGGAGCCUUACCAUGUGCUGCGGUGCUCGUGACAGUCUGCUUGGCAGUCACUUACCGAGAAGAAUGAAUGGCUGGCUACUGUAUAAACCCUGCCCCAUAUCUGUUCAAGUAGUUCUCAGUUAUCAUUAAUCAGAAUAAUGGUUCUUAAACUUUGGCGUGCACCAGAACCACCUAGAAGGCUCCUUAAAACACAGACCCAAGGGCCCACAAACAGACUUUCCGACUCAGGAGGCCCAGGGUAGGGCUGGUUCAACUGAAGAGGCUCUUCUAAGAAAGACAACUGAGAUCAUCAGUCAUGCCUGGCGAUGCUUCGGUGACAGGAGUGACUGAGGGGCAGGCCUGGAGACAGAUGCUUGGCCACCCCAUGUAUCCAAACCUCCCCAUGUAUCCAAACCCCCAGAAAAUGCCUGGAAGAGAGCGGAAGGGGAGGACUGAAGAUAAUCCUUAACUUUUCUAAAGCAGGAAUAUAUUACACUCAAUGAACUUCAAAUAUUUGCCCCUCUUGUGAGUUAGGGUGACUAUUUGCAUUGAAGAGGAAGAAAAUAAUCUUUAGAGCUCACUUUUCUAAGAUCGUGGAAAACAGAUAAAACACAGAAUCCAUUGCUUUGGGCGAAAAAUAGUGAUAAUAACUCUACGUACGCUCAAUGACUCCAGAAUUGUCAUUUAUAGUAUCUAUUAUACGUUAAAAAAAAAAACUAAAUUGAAAAAAUAGAUUCCAAAGGUAAGAAGAUUGAGGGUUGGGGGCUAGAGGGACGAACAGGUAGAGAGCACAGAGGACUCGCAGGGCAGUGAACCUAUUCUGUUUGCUGCUGUAAUAGUGGACCCAUAUCAUUAUACAUUUGUCAAAGCUACAGAACGUACAACGCCAAGAGUGAAUCCUAACGUAAACUACUGUCUUAGUUAAUAAUGAUGUAUCUAGGUUAGUUUAUCGAUGGUAGUAACUACACCACAGUAAUACAGAAUAACGGGAACCGGCGGGUGAGGUGGGGAGAAGGGGGCAUACGGGAACUCAGUCCUUUCCGCUCCGUGUUUCCUGUAAAAAUAAAACCUUUU